AUGUCAAUUUCUUCACUGAGUUGAGGGGAAAAUCGGUAAAAUGGAACACCAAUCAUAGAGCACCAUGACCGAGCUCUGUCUACUACUCUUCCUGAACUUUGAGUGGCCUGCAAUUUUUCAACCAUAAUUUUAAGAAAAAUAAAAAUAAAUUCAGUAAAAAUGGGAAAUAACUGAUGUUACAUACAUCAGUAACUGGAAUAUCUCCUGUUCCAAGAGAAACAACUAAUGUUGCUGGAGCAACCUCAUAUUCUGGAUCCAUCGUUUUCAUGGCUAAAUUGUAUUCAUGAAUUUCUGUUAAGCAGUCAAGAGUAGGGUUGUUUGAAAUAAGCCCUCCAUCUAGGAACCGGCCAAAUGCACUGUAAAAAUAUUGUUUUCAAUUAAUUUAUCAAAAAUAAACUGGAGAGACAAUGUAA